rnacentral:rRNA from 1 species
GGCUGAAAUUCGCCUUCAUGAAGCUGGAAUUGCUAGUAAUGGCAGGUCAGCAUACUGCCGUGAAUACGUUCCCGGGCCUUGUACACACCGCCCGUCACACCAUGAGAGUUGGGGAUACCCGAAGCCUGUGAGCUAACUUUUAGAGGCAGCAGUCGAAGGUAGAAUCAAUGAUUGGGGUGAAGUCGUAACAAGGUAAC